CCUACGGGAGGCAGCAGUGGGGAAUAUUGGACAAUGGGCGAAAGCCUGAUCCAGCAAUGCCGCGUGGGCGAAGAAGGCUUGCGAGUUGUAAAGCCCUUUCAGUGGGGAAGAAAAGCUUAGGGCUAAUACCUCUAAGUGUUGACGUUACCCACAAAAGAAGCUCCGGCUAACUCCGUGCCAGCAGCCGCGGU
rnacentral:rRNA from 1 species